UCAAGCCGCUGCCUUGUCCCCGCAGGCCGCAUCCGCGUGCGGGGGAUCGGAGGGGGACACAAGCGGCGGUACCGGAUGAUCGACUUCCAGCGGCUGCGCUACGAGGAGGGGGCCCCGCCGGAGGCCUUCACCGAGAAGGUCAUCAAUGUCCGCUACGACCCUUGCAGGCGAGUGCGGGGCGCGGGCUCGGCCUGUGGGUUGCGCCUGUGGUUGAGCCUCCUUUCCCCCAGCCCACCGUGGGUUCCCCCCUUCCGUGCAGGUCGGCUGACAUCGCCCUGGUGGCCGGCGGCAACCGGAAGCGCUGGAUCAUUGCCACGGAGAACAUGCAGCCGGGGGACCUCAUCAAAAACUCCCCUCACAUUGGCAGGAUGGCAGUGUCGGCCAACGAAGGGGACGCCUACCCGCUGGGGGCUCUGCCGGUGGGCACGCUGAUCUGCAACCUGGAGAGCCACCCUGGGAAGGGAGCGCAGUACAUCCGGGCAGCCGGGACUUGCGGCGUGCUGCUGAGGAAGGUGAACGGGACGGCCAUCGUGCAGCUGCCCUCC
rnacentral:lncRNA from 1 species